rnacentral:lncRNA from 1 species
GUUCUGCUUGUGCAUUUAAAAAAGGAAUAGAAAGAAAGAAAAAGGUGGUAUUGAUUCAGAUGUAACACUAGAAGUAGCAGAUCCACUUCUGAAGGUUUUGCAGCCAAAAAGCACAGUGCAAAAAUGCUCUGUCCCUGUUUACUUUUAACCUCUGGUUUGUCUUGGAUCUGAUUCUUAGUAGGCGGUCUUAUCUUACAGAAAUUGCAGCCUCUAUCGCCACCCCUUUUGUGGAAAGGGUCCUGCCUGUAAAAGCAUGAAAAUGCAUCCUCCUGGGUUGCUGUUUUUCUUCUUAGCAGCAUGCUUCACUCCUACAGCUGACUGCCAGAGUCAGAAGUGUCCCUCUGCAUUUAGAAAUGGAGCCACAUUGGUGAAGGAAAGAGAAGGAAAACGGAGCAAUGUGUGAAUAAUGGUGUCUUCCUCCACCACCAUGACGGAGAACACAUUUAAUGGCUCAG